GUGAGUAGUUCAGAGUUUGAUCCUGGCUCAGGAUGAACGCUGGCGGCGUGCCUAACACAUGCAAGUCGAACGGGGUAAUCCUUCGGGGUUACUUAGUGGCGAACGGGUGAGUAACGCGUGAGAAACCUGCCUUUCAGUGGGGGACAACAGUUGGAAACGACUGCUAAUACCGCAUAAUGUUAUUUGGGGGCAUCCCUGAAUAACCAAAGCUUUAUGUGCUGAAAGAUGGCCUCGCGUCUGAUUAGAUAGUUGGUGGGGUAACGGCCUACCAAGUCGACGAUCAGUAGCCGGACUGAGAGGUUGAACGGCCACAUUGGGACUGAGAUACGGCCCAG
rnacentral:rRNA from 1 species